rnacentral:rRNA from 1 species
UACGUAGGGUGCGAGCGUUGUCCGGAAUUAUUGGGCGUAAAGAGCUUGUAGGCGGUUUGUCGCGUCUGCCGUGAAAUUUCGAGGCUCAACCUCGAACUUGCGGUGGGUACGGGCAGACUAGAGUGUGGUAGGGGAGACUGGAAUUCCUGGUGUAGCGGUGAAAUGCGCAGAUAUCAGGAGGAACACCGAUGGCGAAGGCAGGUCUCUGGGCCACUACUGACGCAGAGAAGCGAAAGCAUGGGGAGCGAACAGG